rnacentral:tRNA from 1 species
GGGCAAAUGGUUUAGGGGUAUAAUAUCUCAUUCGCAUUGAGAUGGUCCUGGGUUCGAUUCCCAGUUUGUCCA